AACGAACGCUGGCGGCAGGCCUAACACAUGCAAGUCGAACGCACCUUCGGGUGAGUGGCAGACGGGUGAGUAACACGUGGGAACCUUCCCUUCGGUACGGAAUAGCUCCGGGAAACUGGAAUUAAUACCGUAUACGCCCUUUGGGGGAAAGAUUUAUCGCCGAAGGAUGGGCCCGCGUCGGAUUAGCUAGUUGGUGAGGUAACGGCUCACCAAGGCAACGAUCCGUAGCUGGUCUUAGAGGAUGAUCAGCCACACUGGGACUGAGACACGGCCCAGACUCCUACGGGAGGCAGCAGUGGGGAAUAUUGGACAAUGGGCGAAAGCCUGAUCCAGCCAUGCCGCGUGAGUGACGAAGGCCUUAGGGUUGUAAAACUCUUUUGGCGGGGACGAUAAUGACGGUACCCGCAGAAUAAGCCCCGGCUAACUUCG
rnacentral:rRNA from 1 species